CUACGGGGGGCUGCAGCUGAGGAAAUUUUACAAUGCUCGCAAGAGUGAUAAAAUGAACCAGAGUGUUUCUCUUAGAGAAACUUUUAUCUGUUGUAAAAAGGCAGAUGAAUAAGGACUGGGCAAGACCGGUGCCAGCCGCCGCGGUAAUACCGGCGGUCCAAGUCGCAUCCACAAUUAUUGGGUCUAAAACAUUCGUAGUUGGUUUGUAAGUUCCUUGUGAAAUCUCAUAUCUCAAGUAUGAGGCGUGCAAGAAAUACUGCAUUACUAGAGACCGGAAGACGCAAAGAGUACGAUUAAGGUAGCGGUAAAAUGUAUUAAUCUUUAUCGGACUAACAAUGGCGAAGGCACUUUGCGAGUACGGAUCUGACAGUGAGGGAUGAAGGCUAGGGGCGCAAAAGGGAUUAGAUACCCUGGUAGUC
rnacentral:rRNA from 1 species